ACGGGAAGAGCCCAAACCAACAAGCUUGCUUGUUGGGGUUGUAGGACACUCUAUACGGAGUUACAAAGGACGACAUUAGACGAAUCAUCUGGAAAGAUGAAUCAAAGAAGGUAAUAAUCCUGUAGUCGAAAAUGUUGUCUCUCUUGAGUGGAUCCUGAGUACGACGGAGCACGUGAAAUUCCGUCGGAAUCUGGGAGGACCAUCUCCUAAGGCUAAAUACUCUCUAGUGACCGAUAGUGAACCAGUACCGUGAGGGAAAGGUGAAAAGCACCCCGGAAGGGGAGUGAAAUAGAACCUGAAACCGUGUGCUUACAAGUAGUCAGAGCCCGUUAAUGGGUGAUGGCGUGCCUUUUGUAGAAUGAACCGGCGAGUUACGAUUUGAUGCAAGGUUAAGCAGUAAAUGUGGAGCCGUAGCGAAAGCGAGUCUGAAUAGGGCGUUUAGUAUUUGGUCGUAGACCCGAAACCAGGUGAUCUACCCUUGGUCAGGUUGAAGUUCAGGUAACACUGAAUGGAGGACCGAACCGACUUACGUUGAAAAGUGAGCGGAUGAACUGAGGGUAGCGGAGAAAUUCCAAUCGAACCUGGAGAUAGCUGGUUCUCUCCGAAAUAGCUUUAGGGCUAGCCUCAAGUGAUGAUUAUUGGAGGUAGAGCACUGUUUGGACGAGGGGCCCCUCUCGGGUUACCGAAUUCAGACAAACUCCGAAUGCCAAUUAAUUUAACUUGGGAGUCAGAACAUGGGUGAUAAGGUCCGUGUUCGAAAGGGAAACAGCCCAGACCACCAGCUAAGGUCCCAAAAUAUAUGUUAAGUGGAAAAGGAUGUGGCGUUGCCCAGACAACUAGGAUGUUGGCUUAGAAGCAGCCAUCAUUUAAAGAGUGCGUAAUAGCUCACUAGUCGAGUGACACUGCGCCGAAAAU
rnacentral:rRNA from 1 species